GGCUCGGUGGUGUAGUUGGUUAUCACGUCAGUCUAACAUCCCGUUAGUUUCACUGAAGGUCCGGAGUUCGAGCCUCCGCUGAGUCA
rnacentral:tRNA from 1 species